ACGGGUAUUGUUGAAUCAGUUUAGUUUUCUUGACACAUGAUUUGGCAGAUACUUUGUGUCCAUUCGAAUCCUCAAUCUCUAAUGUGAACUCUCAUACUUUUUCCAAUGAAAUUGGACACUCCUAGCCUUUGAUGUUGCCAACCAUAGCUUACGAUACAGACGGGUAUUGUUGAAUCAGUUUAGUUUUCUUGAUUCAUGUUUUGGCAGACAUUUUGUGUCCAUUCGAUUCCUCAAUCUCUAAUGUGAACUCUCAUACUUUUUCCAAUCAAAUUGGACACUCCUAGCCUUUGAUGUUGCCAACCCUAGCUUACGAUACAGACGGGUAUUGUUGAAUCAGUUUAGUUUUCUUGACACAUGUUUUGGCAGAUACUUUGUGUCCAUUCGAAUCCUCAAUCUCUAAUGUGAACUCUCAUACUUUUUCCAAUCAAAUUGGACACUCCUAGCCUUUUAUGUGGCCAACCCUAGCUCACGCUACAGACAAGUGUUGUUGAAUCAGUUUAGUUUUCUUGACUCAUGUUUUGGCAGAUAUUUUGUGUCCAUUCGAAUCCUCAAUAUCUAAUGUGAAGCCUCAUACUUUUUCCACUCAAACUGGAAACUUCU
rnacentral:lncRNA from 1 species